rnacentral:rRNA from 1 species
UACGGGGGGGGCAAGCGUUGUUCGGAAUUACUGGGCGUAAAGGGCGCGUAGGCGGCCAGCACAAGUCAGUUGUGAAAUCUCCGAGCUUAACUCGGAAAGGUCAACUGAUACUGUGCGGCUAGAGUGCGGAAGGGGCAACUGGAAUUCUUGGUGUAGCGGUGAAAUGCGUAGAUAUCAAGAGGAACACCUGCGGCGAAGGCGGGUUGCUGGGCCGACACUGACGCUGAUGCGCGAAAGCUAGGGGAGCGAACGGG